GAGUUUUUAGAAAAGUUUAAAAAUCUACACGUGACGAGAAUAUUUUUCUGUCACUGUGUUGGACUCAAAGUUUUCCUACUACUCUUCACUCUUGAUAAUAUCGUAAAUCCCAGCUCUAAUCUAGCCGUUGCUUCUCGUUUUGACGUGUUGCUAGUAAAAAUGACUUGAAACCGUGAUAAGUAAAAAAAGCGAAGUGCCUUGGUCCUCCGGAGAAAACUCGAAUAU